ensembl:lncRNA
GCAUGACGGAGAGAUGAGCAUUUCAACAGGAGCAGGAGCUAUAAAAUAAAGACGAAAGCACAUGAACAAACAAUAAACAGAUGACAGGGGCCGCCAAAAGGCAAUAAAGAAAGGGCAUCGCCGGGGGGGGGGGGGGAAGAUGCCGCCGCCCCCCCCCUCCCUUUCCACGCAUCCCCUCUUUUUCGCUUAUCCGGCUUCCCUCCUCCCAUAACAGCCACAUGACUCGGAUCGGGUAGCGCACAGCCCCCCCCCAAUGGGGGGCUACGGAGACAGACUCAGGGAGACGGAUGGUGCUGAGGCUGCGUCCACAUGCAGAGGAUUACAGUGCAGCCUCGCAGAUCAGGCUCUCCACCAUUUCCUCUCCUCCGAACAUGAGAUGAGCCCCGUCUCCCUUUGAUCACGCUCGCAACCAAUGGGCUGUUACAGGUAGAAAAAUAAUGAACACACCCCUCCCUCCACCACACACACACACACACACACACACACACACACACACACGCCAUUGUAACCAAGCUGCAAAAUCAGAUUGCGUGCAGUGAGGAGCUUUCAGCUGACAAUAUUCGUAUGUCAUCUGUGUUGUGAGGGAGCAAGUGAAAUCCUGACGAUAGGACGAUUGAAUCGGAGCGUGUGCGUGUGUGCGUGUGCAGCUCACGAGGAAACAAAGCGUUAUUCAAAUUGCCCGACUCCUUCCCAGCAGGGAUGAGGAUCGAUAGCUCUUUAUGAUGGGACUUAGUGAACUAAUUAGCUAACGGGAUGGCUGUGCAUUUCCAACGAGCUGAGCACAAUGUGAAUUAAGUUGUGUGUGUGCAAACGUGUACAAAAGGUGACUUAAUUCAUAAACCUCCCCCCUCCCCUUCUCACCGGGAUCACUCACAUGCAUGAACACCAACACAAGCUCAGGUGUGUGUCCACAAAACCAUGUCGAUUUUGUCUCUCGUCAACGCGGCGUAGUUAUUCGAACGUGCAGAUGUUGCUCUUGUUAGUGUUUCGAUUUCUAUCACACUUGAUUAUUCAGUUUUGGUGACGUGCGUAACGAGUUGAGCGUGAAACAUCAAAAACCAAAGCCGGGAAAAUAGGAGGCUACGAGACAGGAAUUGUAAUGAUGGCUAAUCUAUGUGGUACCUUCUGCACUCCAGGCAAAACUGUUCCACAACAUCUGUAUAGGCUGUUCUGAUGAAUCUCUGCUGAGACCGAAGUAAUAUUUGCUUUAAAGUGCAACUGUAAAGUAGUUUUCAAUCUUUCAGGUUUGAUAUAUUAGAUCGUUUUAUCCCUUGAGGUUCUGGCUGUUGUCUUCUAUAAUUAAUUACAAGAGGUGUACAUAGUGUAGCCCAUGCGUUAUACACCUGGUGCAAAGUACGUUCACAUACUUUAAUACUCUCACAGUGUUUCAACCAUUUAUUUUUUACUUUUCCCACCAGUACACAAUCCAAAUCCAAUGCAACUGGCCUUCAUCUUGGACAUUUGUUGAACAUUUAUUCUGAGGUUCAGACACUAAUCGGUAUUAGUAUGAAGGCAAAGAGAAGAUACAACGUUUUGCAAUGAGUUGUGUGCCGUUUUCUCUGUGGCUAAAGCCACUGCGACGCUGCCAAACCAGCCCCCAUAAAGGUCAAUUUGUUGCCAGUAAAACUCUGCGAUGUGGCCCAUUAAGCGCAUAAAAUACAAUCAACGCAAAAGCCAUUAGAACAAUUCUUGCACUUUUACUGAAAGAUGAUAAAAACGCAAGCAGAUUUUCCUUUUAAAAGGGUAGAAAAUUGCCAAACUGAAUUGGGUGUAAGGGUAGAUAAAUUGGUUAAUGUGUCAGCAAAAAUGACCACUCUGCAACGAAAUAUUCAAGUCUGUACUGCUGGACAUUCGUCAGUGUGAGUUAUGGCUGUUCAGGGCAACACUCACAACAUCUCAACAUGAACUACAUUGAUUUCCAUCCGCCUGCCUGCUGGGUAACAUUUCCACGAUGAGCUCUCUAGCCAAACAGGGCUGCAGUUAGCCGUAUGCUUUGGUGCAGAGACCCACUCAGGAUACUUCUCAUUUGCCCACAAACCUCAGAAACGGCCAGUAAUUAUUGUCACGGAGGAUAUUGGACGGACUCCGGUUGAGGUCUAUUUCCUUACAGAAAUGAAAGCCCUAUGACUGUAUGGCUGUAUGCACCGUUAGGCAAGAAAUCGCUCGCCGUCUCUUGCCAUAAGCCCCCUGCGUCAGUUAGCAGAUUUGACUAAUUGUCAUUUGAGGAUCGAUCCACUUCUCUUUAGCAACGAAAAAGAUCAGCUGUUGACUUUAAAACACAAAGGUUGUGAGGAAAGCCAUUCUGCUUUUAAACUGCGGCUCUUAGGACGGACAUUUUGGUCAGCCCAUCUGUCACGCCGUCCCGCCGCCACUCUGGUCCAGACGCAUUAUCUCGACGGCCGUCGAAUGACUCGCCAUUUGUUUUUGGUGUCCAAAGGAUGAAGCCUACUGCACUUUGUGAUCUGUUCUGCACCAGCUGGUUAUCAGUUUUGUACGGAGAUAUCUAGGUAAAUAUUUGAUUGGUGGCCUUGAAGGAUAUUCAAGUGACUUAUUCCAAAAAAGGGAUGAUUCCAAGAACCUCUGACACGUUCAUAUAGAAUCUGGACUAAAUACCUGACAUACUCGUUUUCAUGUUCAAACAGGGAGAGGUGAGCUGACACUGUUUGGGUAGAGAAGACUUAUGUAUUAACACAUGAGCAUAUUUCACUUACAGCCUGCUGUUGGAUGUUGUCUUUCAAGUAUCAUGAACAAAUACUACAAGAAAUGCAAUAUUACAUCACUCGCUCUUUCAAAUCCUCGACAGCGCCGCCGUGACACACGCUCGCUUAUAAAUUGAAUUUGCUAUUUGGAUUUCAUAACAACUAACGACUGGAACGAAGACCUCCGUGGCUCAACACAAAUAACAACGGCACUGAGGAAAAGAAAUGGUGGCGAGCCGCCCCCUAUCAUGGGGAGGUUGCAGAGAGCCGGUGCGGAUCUGGCGUGAUUGAAGGGUUCCAGUCGAUUAGCGGGAUUACUAGUUGUGAGAUGAUGGCCAGAUUUAAUAGACUAGACUGCAGCAAAAGGCAAUUUGCCCUCUGAGGAAGAGAGGAUCUCUUUGCUCCUCCCAUUGACCUGCUCUAUCCGCCCCGCAGACCUCUUAACCUCCAUCUCGAGUCUGUCCCCGAGGGAAAGCCCUCACACCCGUUCGUGGACCUAUUGCCUUUUUCACGUUAUAUCAGAAUCUUUCAAACCUCUACGACCCGAAAAAAAACCUUUGCCCCUUCAAGAUUGAAUCCCCUUCCCGUCCUAGGAUCGCCUUCUUAACCUCUUCAAAGUAAGAUUUGUUCUUACAAUAUAUACAAUAAAUAUUCUUGUGCGUCUAUUGAAUGUACAUCAAACAAUUAUAAUUAUUUCGGCUCACACUGGAAAGCUCAAUAAUAACAAUUUAGUAAGAAAAGAAAAGUCAACAGAGCAAAUGGCUAAUUUGUUCAUUUUAAAAUUGGAAGUGUAGUAGUACAAGUAUUAGAAUAUAUUAGAGCCAAACACGAAACCAAAUAUUUGAAAGAGAUGCCAUUUCUGGCAAGCUGGUCACUGUGUUCGCCGCCUGCUAUUAUUCCAUUGAUGACGAAUGGAGCUUCCCAGCGAGGUGGGAAGACGACACCAGCGUUCUGGAUAGGCGUAAAUAGCCUUUUACUUAACACCAGAUGUGUUGGAAUUCCUCAAGAUUAUAAAAACACCAUUUUCUUCAGUCACUCAGUCUCCCGCCAUUUCCCCCUCGGAAUGUGAAAGAACGUCCGAUUUACGAGCUCCUCGGUUGCACAUCCGUCUACGUGAGGCCAAGUUUGUGCGUUAGUCGGAGUAACAACAGCCCGUUCUAUCUUUACAAGCCACUUCUUGUUGUGCGUUGAAACACAUCAGAGCACAUGGAACUAGUAUUCAGCAUUCAAAACUGAUGCUUUAUUAAAGUGCACAAUGCGCCACAUCUUUAAACCUGUAGUUACCUCAAAUGAAAUGAUGUUCUUGCCCGGCAGCGAACACCCACACACCCACACCCACACAACAGGUGACAUUUCAGGUAUGGAAAUGUUGAUGACAUUUAAGGCCUCUGGGGUCUUAAGAAAUGUAAUUAAUGUGAGCCAUUUGAAAGAGGAAUUAGUUUGGGGUCUGCGGCUACUGCUUCAAUCUGAUAUUUUUUUUAAUACACAUCCAGAAGUUUCAAUACCAUUGAGUGUAAAAGCUUGUCACAGGCAGGUUGUUAGUUCCAUCUGUGAUUGCGUUUUAUUAGGUAAGAUUUUGCAAAUUAGGCGUCCUUAAAUUGUUUAUUAUAUUAAUUGAUUUUUUUUACAACCUAUUUGGAGCCAUGUGGCAAGUAGCCAUGUGGCAAUGAAGGUCAUGUAUGUAUGUAUGUAUGUAUGCAAAAGCUCCUGAAUGGAGAUUGUUAUGAUUGUUGUUACGGCUCAAGGUUAAGAAAAUACAGACAUGUUGUCCUCUUGGUUCAUAAAUAGUUCUCAGGUUGUUGUACGUUGCUCUUGAUGGAUUGCGUGUUUGUUCCCAACCAGAAUGCAACUCUAGCCCAGUAAAUGGGCUGUAACAAUACUGAUGUUUUGUCCUACUCUUCAUCUUAAAUCGACAGAAUGUAAAUACUUUAAAUUAUUCAGUAUUCAUAUGCAGUUGGGAGAUGA